rnacentral:rRNA from 1 species
UCUGAACGGAAGCAACGCCGCGUGAGUGAUGAAGGUUUUCGGAUCGUAAAACUCUGUUGUUAGGGAAGAACAAGUACCGUUCGAAUAGGGCGGCACCUUGACGGUACCUAACCAGAAAGCCACGGCUAACUACGUGCCAGCAGCCGCGGUAAUACGUAGGUGGCAAGCGUUGUCCGGAAUUAUUGGGCGUAAAGCGCGCGCAGGCGGUUUCUUAAGUCUGAUGUGAAAGCCCCCGGCUCAACCGGGGAGGGUCAUUGGAAACUGGGGAACUUGAGUGCAGAAGAGGAGAGUGGAAUUCCACGUGUAGCGGUGAAAUGCGUAGAGAUGUGGAGGAACACCAGUGGCGAAGGCGACUCUCUGGUCUGUAACUGACGCUGAGGCGCGAAAGCGUGGGGAGCGAACAGGAUUAGAUACCCGGGUAGUCAA